rnacentral:rRNA from 1 species
GACGAACGCUGGCGGCGUGCUUAACACAUGCAAGUCGAACGGAAAGGCCCUGCUUUUGUGGGGUGCUCGAGUGGCGAACGGGUGAGUAACACGUGAGUAACCUGCCCUUGACUUUGGGAUAACUUCAGGAAACUGGGGCUAAUACCGGAUAGGAGCUCCUGCUGCAUGGUGGGGGUUGGAAAGUUUCGGCGGUUGGGGAUGGACUCGCGGCUUAUCAGCUUGUUGGUGGGGUAGUGGCUUACCAAGGCUUUGACGGGUAGCCGGCCUGAGAGGGUGACCGGCCAAAAUGGGACUGGGGUGACGGCCCAGAUCCCUAGGGGAGGAAGAGUGGGGGAUUAUGGCACAGGGGCCGAAAGCUGAAUCAGGCACGGCGGGGGGGGGGAGGAGGGCUUCGGGUUUGGAAACGGUUUUGGCCGGGGAGAAGGGUGAGUGACGGGAAUGGGUUAAAGAGGCCCGGGUUACUUAGGG